GACGAACGCUGGCGGCGUGCUUAACACAUGCAAGUCGAACGGAAAGGCCCUGCUUUUGUGGGGUGCUCGAGUGGCGAACGGGUGAGUAACACGUGAGUAACCUGCCCUUGACUUUGGGAUAACUUCAGGAAACUGGGGCUAAUACCGGAUAGGAGCUCCUGCUGCAUGGAGGGGGUUGGAAAGUUUCGGCGGUUGGGGAUGGACUCGCGGCUUAUCAGCUUGUUGGUGGGGUAGUGGCUUACCAAGGCUUUGACGGGUAGCCGGCCUGAGAGGGUGACCGGCCACAUUGGGACUGAGAUACGGCCCAGACUCCUACGGGAGGCAGCAGUGGGGAAUAUUGCACAAUGGGCGGAAGCCUGAUGCAGCAACGCCGCGUGCGGGAUGACGGCCUUCGGGUUGUAAACCGCUUUCGCCUGUGACGAAGCGUGAGUGACGGUAAUGGGUAAAGAAGCACCGGCUAACUACGUG
rnacentral:rRNA from 1 species